AAAGUACUCCCUCCGUCCCAAAAUUCUUGUCUUAGAUUUUUCUAGAUACGGAUGUAUCAAGUCACAUUUUAGUAUUAGAUACAUUCGUAUCUAGACAAAUCUAAGACAAGAAAUUUGGGACAGAGGGAGUAGUUG
rnacentral:pre_miRNA from 1 species